rnacentral:rRNA from 1 species
AGUGAACGCUGGCGGUAGGCCUAACACAUGCAAGUCGAACGGCAGCACAGUAAGAGCUUGCUCUUACGGGUGGCGAGUGGCGGACGGGUGAGGAGUACAUCGGAAUCUACUUUUUCGUGGGGGAUAACGUAGGGAAACUUACGCUAAUACCGCAUACGGCCUACGGGUGAAAGCAGGGGAUCUUCGGACCUUGCGCGAUUGAAUGAGCCGAUGUCGGAUUAGCUAGUUGGCGGGGUAAAGGCCCACCAAGGCGACGAUCCGUAGCUGGUCUGAGAGGAUGAUCAGCCACACUGGAACUGAGACACGGUCCAGACUCCUACGGGAGGCAGCAGUGGGGAAUAUUGGACAAUGGGCGCAAGCCUGAUCCAGCCAUACCGCGUGGGUGAAGAAGGCCUUCGGGUUGUAAAGCCCUUUUGUUGGGAAAGAAAAGCAGCAGGUUAAUACCCCGCUGUUCUGACGGUACCCAAAGAAUAAGCACCGGCUAACUUCGU